rnacentral:rRNA from 1 species
GCCAGGCCAUACCACCCUGAAACACACCUGAUCUGAUCUCCUAAGCUAAGCAGGGUUAGGCUUGAUUAUUACUUGGAUGAAUCGGAAAUCACCUGGGCAUACCAGGUGCUACGGGCU